CAGUAGCCACGGUAAUACGUAGGUGGCAAGCGUUGUCCGGAAUUAUUGGGCGUAAAGGGCUCGCAGGCGGUUUCUUAAGUCUGAUGUGAAAGCCCCCGGCUCAACCGGGGAGGGUCAUUGGAAACUGGGAAACUUGAGUGCAGAAGAGGAGGGUGGAAUUCCACGUGUAGCGGUGAAAUGCGUAGAGAUGUGGAGGAACACCAGCGGCGAAGGCGACUCUCUGGUCUGUAACUGACGCUGAGGAGCGAAAGCGUGGGGAGCGAACAGGAUUAGAUACCCCAGUAGUCCCUGUCUCUUAUAU
rnacentral:rRNA from 1 species